ACGAAAAAAAAGAAAAACUUGUUUACUUUGAUUAUCAAAAUGUAAAUUCCCUUUGUCCGCGCCAUCAUUACGUCAUCAGCUUACGCUAGAUCUGUUUCUUUCGAGUUAUAGAAAGACAAUUUUAAAACAAUCAGCGCGGGUAUUUUCUUUGGGCUAUUUUCUAACAUUUGGUAAUGCUAUAGAAUAGGAGGAAUGUAGAGCAAGGCCGAGGUUUGGAACGUUCCAGGUUAAUAAUUUGUUUAAUAUAUGGCUUUUGCUUUGGUUUUACAGGACCCGCAAUCAGCCCGGGGGCAUUACAGGAGAAUAAUGUCCUUGAAUUAGCCAAUCAGAGCGCGUGUUAUUUUACCAACAAAUACAGGCCACAUAAUAUCCGCACAAUAGCACAAACCAGAAUAAUUUCGACUGCCUCUGUUGCGUGAUCCACAGAUAACUAAUUUGUAUUUAACAGACCUGUGCAUUGUACUCAUGUAUAUAAGCCUACGAAAAAUUCAGCAGGCUUAGAAAUAAAACCAAAACCGAUAGAACUUGGUUUCUUAGAAAGUGAUUUCAAAACCUUUCGUGGAAACAAAUUAAACCACACCAAGCAUUAAUUUCUAUGGUAACUGAACCUUAGCCAAUCGCAUAAACAUGAAACGUCAGCAUCGUUUGGUCUGUUUAUGCAAAAAGUCAAGGUCAACUGAACUUUUUUCCCUCUUAUUUCAAUUGACAACGAACGUGAUAACAUAAACAACGGAGACAACCGGAUCAAUAUUCUGUUUUCUAGGAAAGAAAAGAACUGAAAAACAGAACAUUGAACGUUAAACAGUACUAAGCAAUAUGAAGGUAAGGUCUGGCUGGAACAAAGCUUUGCUCGCCUCGCUUUCUUGCGAUUUAGAGCAUAUCACGAAAUAUAUCAUUUUCGCGGAUCAUCUCUACUGCUGACGUCCCAUGCACACCUUUGCACUACUUUGAAUCUAUUUCGUUCCGCAUCAGAGAAGCCUCAUCGGUUCCCGACUACGAUUUUCUACCUGAAUCAAGUUUAACUUCUUUACACUCUCUGUGAGUAUAAUUUUUGUUCUUGUUAACAGUACAAUGAGUCGGCUCAAAAGGUGAAGAAAACAGUUUUCACGCAAAUGUCUCAAAUUACUCAGGAACAUUUAAUUUAAGUUGCAAUUUGCUACUCUGAACAAUCUUUCUCUUUUAGACACGGCAGGUUCAAUCAGUGAGCCAUGGGCAGACAGCCAAACCUACAACGGUGUUUAAUCUAAAUGUUCUUCCAUUGUAUAAUAAAGAUUAUAACAAGGCAGUGAGUCCAAUUACAUUCGGUCGUGUUUUCAACUGCGUAUACGCUAUUAGCAAAUUCAAAAUUUGGUGGAGACAAAAUUUGUCGAGAUUUUUGGCAGAGCCAAACAAAUCUUGUCAACCUAGUGCGUACGGGGCCUGAGAUACGAGGAUCAUUCAGCACCCUAUCACAAAGUAAUCUUCGCUCCGAUGUGAAAAGCAAACUUUGCCUUUCCAAGAAAUUCUCAUAUUAACAGUACUGCUAGACACAGAAUUAAUUAGCCAGUUCCGUGCUGAAACAUGCACAAGUCUUUCCUAAUAACAUUUUUACGCGUUGCACGUUAACAUUGCUAAGAGAAUUUAGGUGAUUGUUUAAUCUUUAGUUAGAGAGGGUGGCUCGAAAUAGCAGAGCAAGUAAACUUGAGGCCUUAUAAAUAGCAAAUUACGAGCUAAAUAAAAAAAACGCAAAAGAAAUUCGAAGGCCUAACUAUUUAAGCAUUCAGUUUUCUCAGAAUUAUGGCUUCGAGGAAAAACUUUCUAUCAUGGAAUAAGAAUGUCGAUUCACACCUGAAGUCACGUUACAGCAGGUCAUACACUGUUGCACCAAUCGCUCAAAUAAAUAUAUAACCCAUAACUAGAACUGAACUGGCAUCAGUUCUGCGACCUCUUAAGAGUUUUGAGUAACAAAUAUCUAGUAGGUUCCAACAACGCAAUUUUGUUCGGAACGUUUAAGCGAUCUGAAGCCUUCGUCUACCAAAACUGAGUUUGCUCUUUCUCUUGUUUCAAAGUGGAUCUCAUGUAGGUACAGUAUAAAGUGUUCUACGUCGUAACACUGAAGUUCUUUUGAAAACUUUAAAUUUGGAGAACGAUUUUGAAAACGUUUAAUAUGGAUAACGAUUCUCAUUAAAAUGCCAUCUGGAGACAAAUUUUUCACAAAGCAGAGGACUUCCGUUUAGAUGGCUCCUCGCGUUUAGAGUUAACACCUUUGAGCGGGAUUCGGUGACUCGCUUUCCAAGUUCACUGCGACAAGAGAAAGAAAGGUAACAGUUUUCAGUUUAGUUCACCACAACACAAACAGCUACAAAGUGAUAUCACCCAGACAGAUAUUUCUAUGUUUGGACUCACAAACCAACCAAACGAAAUUUUUUCUUUCAGGGUACAGUGUGUCAUAUCAGGCAUUAAGAAGGAACUGAAUGUGUUCAACAUGAAUCUUCUUGGACAAUACGACCCACGUGUUGAAAUGAACGACACUGCUUUGGAGUUAUAUUUAUCGAAAUCCAUUGGCAACUGAGUUCAACUCGUUUACCAGCGAACACAGGGAAAGAGGAACAGCUACACUUCGGGCAAAAGGAAUGAUGUAUCACCACACCGUGGUUCAAUUAAUUCUGCGUCUUCGCUCCUGAUUGCUAAAUCAUUUUAAAACUGAAGGAUACUGUACCGCAACAUGUCCCAACAUGUCACGCACGUCACGAAACACUGGCUCUAUCUCCUAAUCUUCCCACAAGCCCAUGGGCACCAAAAAAGGAAAAGGAAAAGGGAAAGAGGCCUUUAUUUCAACACCACAUCUUGGAAGGAGUUUUGGGCCGAGUCAAUCGACGAAAGAUACCACACUAAAAGACCUGACUGACAAUAUUACAGAAAGCGAGAUAAAUCUAAAAUGGCAUCGAAACAAAACCUUACAAAACAGGGAACAGAAAAUGAAAGAGCACACUGUUCUUGUCCAGGGCAAUGUGCAUGGAAGAGAGGAAGAGGAGCGUGUCCUUGCAAAGCAGCCGACCUCAAUUGUGUUGACGGUUGUAAAUGUGUCAAGUCCAAGUGCAAAAAUCAGGGGCAUUGCAAUUCACCCUGACGAAAAUCAGGGCCACCGCAACAGGUCUUUCCUGGGGAACGGAAGUCACGCAAUGAUCGCAAAAAUUUACAAGUACCAAACCCCUCACCCUACAACAACCCGAAGGAAAACAAUAAAACAAAGGCAAACAACGCAGCGACCAAUGUUCACCAAUUAAGAAAUGACACGCUAGCACUACGUCGGAACACGUGUUGUCAGCACGUACAUGUACUGUAUACCAGCUACAUAGUCUCCACAACAAUUAAUCUCCACACCUGCGCUUUAUCUGGAACCACAGCCAACAGGAACUCACCAAUGGACCGCGCACAGAUGGAUGAACAACAAUCGGCAAACAAUGCUAGUGGGUGAGUAAAUAUCAGUUCUAUUGUAUAACCUGCAUUUGAACAGCUUUCAACAAGCAUUAUGUUACGAGCUUUUUACCUGUCCCCUUUCACCAUUCGAACGCUCACUCAGCUUAGUAUUUGCUUCGGACAAAACAUACCCAAGUGAUAUUUGAGUUUAACGGCCAUUUAAACAAUAAAGUAAAGUACCACCAGUAAUUAUUACUGUUGGCACUUUUCAUAAAUGUUUUCACAGAAAUAUAACACUGCCGGAUAAUAACUGUCAAACUCAAAUACAAUCAGGUCGUAAAUAUACAUUUAUAUCACGUAAAAAUGUACUUACAAUUUAU
rnacentral:misc_RNA from 1 species